CCCUGGGUGGCUGAGUCGGUUAAGCGUCUGACCUCAGCUCAGAUCAUGAUCUCACGGUGCGUGGGUUCGAGCCCCGUGUCAGGCU
rfam:Felis catus isolate Cinnamon breed Abyssinian chromosome E1, whole genome shotgun sequence.